GGGCAAUCGUUGGACCUCCUUACCGACGAUAUUUGAAUGGGCAGUGGCCACCCCGAUUGGCUGAAGAAAAAGUAACCAACAGAAAAACCUUUAUUGGCUUGGAACUCAGGGGGGUUAAACGCACCCCCGAAAAAGGUGAGGGCCGGGGGUCAAGUCCACUCCAGGCCACCCAAUUCCUCCGCAUGCUGCGUUAUGCUCACGGUCGUUUGCCCCAGUAAACUUCCCAUUCCUCUGCCUUGCCUGAAAAAGAAUUGACUCGCUCUUAAUCAAGGGAGCAGAUAAACAGAGUUGUCUGAUAGAUUGUCUGGGGGUUUACCUGCCUUGGACGAGCGCCGGCCUUGGUUCCAUCCCGCUUAGCUCCCCCUUCUCCUUCCUGCCUCCAUAACACUCCUGAAUUUAUUGUCGACAGUAUGCUAUUGAGUAUUUUGCUCUUUAACAAUCUGGAACCUUCUGAAAAUUGAAAUGAUGAAUAAUCUGAAGAUUAUUCACGAGUCUCUAUUAAGCGCAAAGCCCAUGAUGGAAACAUCUUCAGGUUGUGAGGUUAAGUGACUAAGCAGGCACGGUGACUGACCUUGGCAGGUGGAUGCCUUGGCA
rnacentral:misc_RNA from 1 species